AGCAUUUUAUCAACCUGCAUCUAUUAAAAUGACAAAAUAGAGCCUCACAACGAGGGAAGACUCUCCCUGUUUAAGUGCAUACAAAAUUGGUUCAAGACCAGCAGGUGUUUGAAAAACCCAGCUAGCAGAACUAACAUUAACAUAGGCGAGCAUAUCCGCAGCCAUAUUAAUCCACUAUUACACAUGAAAGAGAAAAACCCCGCAACAAAAAGUAGAUAAUAACUGCUUAUAUGUCCAAGCAACAACUUAACACAAAAGGAAGAGUCUGAUUCUAGUCAUUCUACCCAUAGCUUAGGAAUCUGCAGCUGGUUAGCCUUGAUCAGGCCUGUCCUGAUAGCAUAGAGUUCAGCAAAAUUGUUGGUUGUUGGAGAGGGAUGCACUAUGAGGUACCUGUAAGAAGAAUUCCAUUAUAAACUCUAAAAAAAUUCCAAUACCUGAAUAAUUUGGGGUACGUAACAGAACCAUUAGUAUUCAUUUUUAUCCAUUUGAAAGGAUGAGGUUUCCAAGGUGCAAACAAUGUGCUCAUAAUUCUAGAUGCAAAAAGCUAAACUUGACCAAGAAAAUAAGGAGCUCCCAGAAAACAAUUUCACAAAACAAAAACGCAUAACUACGAACCAAAUGACAUUCUGAUAGAUCCGUAAAUAAAAUAAUAAAAAUAAAAUAUAGCUAGCACCAUCCUUCCAAAAGUUUGUAUAUGACCAAGUGAUACAACAUCAACAUAAUCACUGUCUUAAUAAAAGCAAGGAUAACGGCAACAAAACAAUCCACUCAAAAAGCACCAACACUUACCUUGGCUGACGCCUAUUGUUGCGUAGGCUCACGCCUACUGUUGCGCUCAUACUGGGCCCUCGCCCACUGGUACAUUAUUAUGUCAUUAACUGCAUAAGCAAAACCCAACAUUAAGUUAUAUUUCUUCAUUUUCAACAAAAGAACCAUAAUAGAAAUCAUGCAUUAUCUAAUUUCUCCAAGAACAAUUAGAAGAACUUGAUGCAUAUGCUCUUCAUUGAAAUGAGUCAAAUGACACAACCCAUUCAAAUAUUAUAAGACAUUUAGCAAACGGAUAUAUAUACACAUUCUGUUUAGCGGGACUAAGCCUCCCACCAUUUCACAAUAACUGUCUUUCGAUACAUGUCUCUUUUUUCAUAUCUACAACCAAUAGGUAAAGGUAGAAGCAGGUAAUCUUAUAUAGGGCAAUUACCUGGCUUAAAGACUUAUUGUUUGUACAUAUGAAACUGCCUGUAUUACUCCACAAAGGAUACAAACCCUAUGCUAAUUAAAGGGUAGAAGCCAGGUAAUUGCCCUAUAAUGGAACUGAGGAAGUACGGAACUGGUCACAUUCUUUUCACUUAAUAAAAGACUUGGAAGCUAUCCUGUAUUACUCCACAAAGGUUACGGACCCUACACUUUUAAACAAAACUGGCUACUUCACCACCAUUUCAGAACAGAUGAAUUAUAUGUUGCAUAGUAUUUUGAACAAAGUUUGGGUCUUAUUCGAGAAAAAAAAAAUGUUGUUGGGCCCCUAUCUGAAUGGAGUCUAAAAGGCGUAGGCACACUAGAUGAAAUACUUAUUAACCAGAGCACAAAAACCAUGAGACCAGUAUAUAAGAUAACUUGAAUAUAUCUCCGUAACAGCUACGACUGCAUACUGAGACACUCUAGCAAACAACCUUAUCUUCACUUUAAUACUCAAAGAAGAUUCUGCAUGGCUCUGAAAUUUUUUUGAGAGGAGUACAUCCAUUCUCUCCAAGACAUUGGCAUUUUGAAGUAAAAACCUCACCAAUGCCAAUUCAAACUCACUUCCUUCAAACGACUCAAUUUCAACACUUCUUAGUUGCUUCAGCAUCCCAUCAUUAUUCAACUCUUGUGUUUUCAAGUAUUCUUCCAUUUUGAAAGUAUAAUUAUGUCCACGUUGAGACUAUUCAAAAUUGAGAUUGGUUAGUUUUUGAAUGCUUCAUUUUUGUGGAAUAUGCCAAUGAAUUGAUUGCUUGAUAAAUAGUUGUACCUUGAUGGAUAUACAGAGUCUGCAAAUUGGGAUAACUUCUCAAUAAAACAGUGAUGACUUCGACUUGAUUUUUGGUAGGGUACAAAUCAAGAUGCAAAUGUUUGACGCUACAAUAUGAAGUAGGCAACCGACCUAACAAACCCUCUUCCCUGGUCAAAAACU
rnacentral:lncRNA from 1 species